rnacentral:rRNA from 1 species
CCUACGGGAGGCUGCAGUGAGGAAUAUUGGUCAAUGGGCGAGAGCCUGAACCAGCCAAGUCGCGUGAGGGAGUACUGCCCUAUGGGUUGUAAACCUCUUUUGUCGGGGAGCAAAAGCCGGACGUGUCCGGCUGUGAGAGUACCCGAAGAAAAAGCAUCGGCUAACUCCGUGCCAGCAGCCGCGGUAAUACGGAGGAUGCGAGCGUUAUCCGGAUUUAUUGGGGUUAAAGGGUGGGCAGGCGGGUUUUUAAGUCAGCGGUCAAAUCGUGGGGCUCAACCCCAUCCAGCCGUUGAAACUGGGGAUCUAGAGUGUGCGAGAGGUAUGCGGAAUGCGUGGUGUAGCGGUGAAAUGCAUAGAUAUCACGCAGAACCCCGAUUGCGAAGGCAGCAUACCGGUGCACAACUGACGCUCAGGCACGAAAGCGUGGGUAUCGAACAGGAUUAGAUACCCGAGUAGUC